rnacentral:hammerhead_ribozyme from 1 species
AUCCAGCUGACGAGUCCCAAAUAGGACGAGAUGCAACGUUGUGGAU